rnacentral:tRNA from 1 species
UGGCCGGGUAGGCCGAGUAGUCCGCCUGCAUGGCGGGCAGGUAGAUCUUGUCGCCGACGAUCGCCGCGCUGCCGGCCGG